UAAGUUGCAGCGGCGGGGGCAAAUUAAGGGCUUGAGCAGGGGAACCAAAUUAGGGAUCGUUAGUAGGCUGGAGACGGGCGGCGGCAGCGGCGACGCCGGCAACGAAGGUUACUCAAGCAGGAGGCGGGCUCCGGCAGUAAUAGACGACGUCUUCCUCCUCCCGCGCGUCGUACUCAGGCGGAGGUCGUGGGCACAUGGCUCCGUCAAGGUCGUCCGUGCCGUACUGCGAGGACCCCAUGGCGUACGAGCCGGCAGUGGAAUGCCACUGUAGGAAGAUUCUACUGCUGCGUUCAUGGAAUUGUAGAGGUUUGAAGCUGCAUGUGGUGAUGGCUGGAAGCAAUGGAUGGAACAGAUGCAGAGAAAUGGAACAGAGGAUGCACUGAGACAAUUAGUUCUGAAGAAGAAUGCAGAAGUUCAAGCAAAUAGGGCAAGAUGUGAUAGUUUAGAAAGAAAACAAAUGUCCAGCAUUGUGUUUUAUGGCAUGAUCAUGUUAGUGGCAAGUUUAUUUGCAAGAUUUGUCCUGCAUUGAUAGCUAGAAGAUGAAUGUAAUGUCAAAAUUUUGUACUAGCAGAAUGAUGUAAUCGCUGGAUGAUGGAAUGGUACUUCAUAUUGUUGGAUGAUGUUA